UACGUAGGGUGCAAGCGUUGUCCGGAAUUAUUGGGCAUAAAGAGCUCGUAGGCGGCUUGUCGCGUCGGCUGUGAAAACCUGGGGCUCAACCCCGGGCCUGCAGCCGAUACGGGCAAGCUAGAAUUCGGUAGGGGAGACUGGAAUUUACGGUGUAGCGGUGAAAUGCGUAGAGAUCGUAAGGAAGACCAGUGGCGAAGGCGGGUCUCUGGACAGUUCCUGACACUGAGGCACGAAGGCCAGGGGAGCAAACGGG
rnacentral:rRNA from 1 species